CAACCCCAUGAAGCCCGCAAACACGUCCCUCUCCUUCGUCUAUAUCUUUCCCCGACCUUCCCUCGCCGCCGCCGCCACUGCCACUGUCGACGCCAACCUCCAGCCACGGCGUUCCUCUCUCACCCGAGCGACGAAGGCACCCCCUUGACCUCGCCUCCGACCGUAUCGUUGUGCGUCACCGCCGCCGCUGCCACUGUCGACGCCAACCUCGAGCCACGACAUCCCUCUCUCGACCGAGCGACAAAGGCACCCCCGACGGCGGGUACACGUCGGACACGCACGAGGAUCCGAAAGACCGCAAGCACAAGAAGGAGAUGGUGGGCGAGUUGCCGCCGCAGGCCUGGUCCAGCUUCUUUCUACGCCAGGUUUGAACUUCUCGGUUGCCCCGUUGCUGGAUCCUACCUCGGUCGAGCCCCCGGCAAGCAAGGUACGAUCAUACGUCAUAUGAUCUUUUGGCGCGAUCGAAAUAGCAUCGGUCACUUGCUGAUGGAGGCACGGCCGGUCACGGUGUCUACAAUGGCAGCAUGUGGAUGUGUAUGCCCCGACCCCUCCUAUACGUGCACCUCUGCAGCGAUCUAAAGGUAUGGACCAUGCUAACCUGCCGUGGCACUCUACAACUACCAUAUUUCCAAUUUCUUUCUGUUGAGAUGGCGCUUUAGCCUUUGCACUUGAACUGUUUGAUGAAUUGCCGAUAUGAUGUCAGUGUUCACCAGAUAUGAUGUGAAAAAUAUGAUAUCUUCGGGUAUUUAUCCUCCUAAAUAUUCAGAUAUUCUUACCCUGUAAUCCUCACUGCUCACGACUAGACAUAGCUUUCUGAUGUAUCUUUUGGAUUUGGUCGAUGUCAAUCAGAUAUCAGGACGUUUGUGAGGACAUAUAUUUCCGAUACCUGUAUUCUGUAGCAAAAAAGUCUAAUGUCUCUGUUCUCCAAAUAAUUGAUUACCAACUCACUAUACAGCUGCAGAUUGGUCAAUAACAUCUUUUUUCAUGUAAGAGCUGGGUGUUUUGAUUGAAAGUAUAUUGGGGAUGUAUUGAAGUAAUUUUUUUCUUUCCCUCUCCCCAGCAUUUUUGAUCUUCGAUAUAUGCUAUAUCUCUUUCUACUUCUUUCAUGCAUUAUAAGAAACAUGUGACAGUGGACAUGUUUAAGAAAAAAAAGAAUAUGGCAGUGGAGAUCAGUAGAUCUAAUUUUCUUUGCUGUGCAAAAUGUGUCUAUUUUCUAAUGUAAGGCCAACUUUCGCUUCUAGGAUGUUUUUCCUUGGCUGCUGUAUCUAUUUCUAAUUUGUUGCAAAUUCAAUAUCUUCAUACUAAUUCACUGGUUUCAUGAUUGGCUCCUCACUAAGUUAUCACUGGUUCUAUGUUUUUUUCUCAUGUAUGUACAUUGUGUUCAUAACUGAAAUCCCCUUUCCAUGACGGAAGCUGAUUCCAGAUUUUUGACCUCUCUUCAAAUUAAAUUAAAUAUAUUUUCUGUCAAGCUCUAUCAUUUAUUUUGUGAGCUAUUUAGGCCAUCCUUAUUCUGAUUAAGCCAGACAUUUUGUGAGUUACUUCUGUGUAAUGGUACAACAGCUUUUCUCUGAGCUGGAUGACCUGAAGCGAUGCUUGAUUCGGUACAUUUGAAGCGGCACGUUUACAGGACACAUGCAGUUUUUUUCACUUUACAUAUGUUAAAUUAUAUUUGCAUGGUGUGGUGUUGUUGCAGCGUUGAGGAAAAAUAACAGGUUGUAACAUAUGAAAAUAACCAAUACUCCUAGAAUUCCAGCUUAUAGAGGCUAUGGUAGGAAUGUUGAGAGGUAUGUCUGCUAGCUGCAUUAGUUAUUUUAUAAAUUGAGUGGGCAGAAAUUUGGAGAUUUCUGCGUUCUUUCUGUGGCAUCCAUUCAUUGGUCUGGCCUAUUUUCAUGUGUUGUAGUACAUCGACUAAGAACAAGAUCAUUAUUUUUAUCCAGGACUACCAAGUUAAGAGUAUUUAGACAUUGUUUUGUUUCAUUGAGUAAAUUGGUCUUGUGAAUCUAAAUCUGUGUGUUUGUUUGACUAAUGCAGGUGUAAUUCCUCAAGCAUAUUGGCUGGUCACCCGAGCCUAAUUGACAAAUUAUUCAACCUGUUCAUGGAUCAGGCAAAAUAUUCCAUUCAUAAUAAAUGUAUUUGGUUUGCUUUCAGUUUGUUGAUUUUAACAAGCUUCGGAAUACAAUAGUUAUGUUAGGCUAUUCAAACGAAAAAAACAUGCAUGCAUCAUGACCGGCUCGAGGUGGUUGGAGGUUAUUUAAUUUAGGUGAAACAGUUCCAACUUCAACUAUUUGGUUUGGGAAGUAUAUAUAUACUCUUGCUGCUAGGAAUAGCAGGCACCAUGAUAUUCUCAGUUUUCUUUAUUCUUGUCAAGCUUUACAUCACAGCGACAAAGACAUGCAUGCGUCAUGACCGGCUGGAGCUGGUUGGGCGAUUAGUUACAGUAUUGUCACACUAUUAUUGGGUAUUUUUUCAAUGCCUCAUAUUUGACAAAGGGGA